GACGUAGGGCGCGAGCGUUGUCCGGAUUUAUUGGGCGUAAAGAGCUCGUAGGCGGCUUGUCGCGUCGACUGUGAAAACCCGAGGCUCAACUUCGGGCUUGCAGUCGGUACGGGCAGGCUUGAGUUCGGUAGGGGAGACUGGAAUUCCUGGUGUAGCGGUGAAAUGCGCAGAUAUCAGGAGGAACACCGGUGGCGAAGGCGGGACUCUGGGCCGAUACUGACACUGAAACGCGAAAGCCAGGGGAGCAAACGGG
rnacentral:rRNA from 1 species